CGAACGGGUGAGUAAUGCGUGACCAACCUGCCCCAUGCUCCAGAAUAGCUCUUGGAAACGGGUGGUAAUGCUGGAUGCUCCAACUUGACGCAUGUCUUGUUGGGAAAGUGUUUAGUGGCAUGGGAUGGGGUCGCGUCCUAUCAGCUUGUAGGCGGGGUAAUGGCCCACCUAGGCUUCGACGGGUAGCCGGCCUGAGAGGGCGGACGGCCACAUUGGGACUGAGAUACGGACCAGACUCCUACGGGAGGCAGCAGGC
rnacentral:rRNA from 1 species